AAUAAUUAUCGUACUUGUUUUUAUUCAUGUUCUUUAAAUGUGUGUAUAGCUCGCAUUUAUUUCAAUGUUCAGUAUUAGAAGUGUUUUGGGUCUUUAUGUAGAACGUUGGUGAUGUUUUCGUGACCAGAAAUACACUGUGGGAACUUAACUCUUGUUUAGGACAAUUAACUCAUGGUGAAAUUGGUGUUGUUUUACAUCGUUUCACGUAAAGUCGCAGUGAGGAUGUUAAGUGAGGACUUAUUGUGGACGUUUUACCUCCCCUGAGAUGGAAUUUCAACUGUUUAGAUAGUGAGUGAGUAUGUUUGGCUCCAAAUCUGGCAGAAAUCAAAGUAUCCGUUUGUACAGGUCAGCAAGACCCAGUUAAGAGAAUGUAAUGAUUUAUUAAACCGGCCUUCCCAAGAAGAUAAACUGGCUGAGUCAGUAAUAGCCUCGAGGGGUCUUAGAAGGAAACAGGCACUGAGCCAUGUGGAUCUCCUUCUCUUCUGCUGUAUCCGCCUUGAAAGAGAGACAGAUGAGCAACCGCUUGUGCUCUGAGAGAUGAGCGGGGGAACUUCACGAGAGAUGUCCUGGGUUGUGCUCUGGGGCUGCACCGUUGACAUUAGACCGCACUGGGGGAUGGUGGCCCUCACCCCUCACCCCUCACCUGACCGGGCCUCUACCAGUGGUGGGAAGCGGGAAGACCCUACCACUGAGCUGUGGUCUAAGACAGCCGGUCUCAGAUCUUACCCAGCACCAGAAUCAUCUGGAGGGGUGAUCCACAUCCUGGGCAGGAUGGAGAGGGAUGGCAUGUGAUUUCAUCACGCUCCUCAGAACGGCAUGCGAUUUAAAACUUACGAAUUGUUUAUUUCUGGAAUUACCCAUUUAGACCGUGGUUGACCAGAGGUAACAGAAACCACAGAAAGCGAAACCGUGGAGAAGGGGUGGGAGACCGCUCGCUGUAGGUUGGUGAUGAUGAAAACUAGCCUCUGAAGUAAUAUGGCAGCAUCGAUGGCGGUUCUCGACAAAGAGGCAACUAUUCCAAAAAGGUGUCCAUCAGCUAAGUUCCCGCCCACAGGUUUUCUCCGGAAGUUCCCAGGGCUGAUUGUGGUCCUUGGGCUCUUCUGUCUACAGACUAAGCCAUGAGCAUUUUAUGAGCAGGAGCCUUGCCAGUGUUAUUUGUAACACGAGGCCAGAACAGUGCCUGGCUCUCUAAAGGUUUUCGUGAGUGUUUCUUGGAUGAAGAGUCAGUGAUUUGGAAACUCGAAAAAGCGAAUCCCCAGCAGUCUGGGCAACAGCUCUUGGGGGAAACAGAACCAAAGCAAUCUGGGUAUUUGUGAGCUGGUCGGGAACAUGACUUGUUGCCAUGGAAGAAAACGAACACUAGAUUUCACAUAGAGGCGCCCAGAAAUUGUUUCCUGGCAGAGUGCCUCUUCGGGGCUGUGGCUGGAGAGGUGGUAACAGCCCCAGGAGGGCACCAUCGGGGCUGUUGUGUUCACCGCUUUGUGCCCUGAGCCUGGCACAGAGUCUGGCACUGUAACUGCUCCAAAUGUUUGUUGAAUAAACAAUGGGCCAUAGGGGGCUUCAGCUUAGGCAAGAGUUGGGCUGAGGUUUGGGGGUGCUGCAGACACCAAUAGAUAGUAAUUGUAAUUCAACUCUCUACAUCUGCAUAAGGGAAUGUACCGUUUUAUUUGCAUAAGAAAAGCUCCCUCUCCAGAUGAAUCAAUGCUGGGAAUUCUAAACUGGAUGCAAGAAUACAUUUUCAGGUAAAGGGGUAUAUUUUUGUCAUGGCAAAGUGUGAAGAACACAAUAAAAACGGCUGUAAUUCUGCCA